rnacentral:rRNA from 1 species
GGCUGCUAUACUGCAGUCGAGCGAACAGAUAAGGAGCUUGCUCCUUUGACGUUAGCGGCGGACGGGUGAGUAACACGUGGGUAACCUACCUAUAAGACUGGAAUAACUCCGGGAAACCGGGGCUAAUGCCGGAUAACAUUUAGAACCGCAUGGUUCUAAAGUGAAAGAUGGUUUUGCUAUCACUUAUAGAUGGACCCGCGCCGUAUUAGCUAGUUGGUAAGGUAAUGGCUUACCAAGGCAACGAUACGUAGCCGACCUGAGAGGGUGAUCGGCCACACUGGAACUGAGACACGGUCCAGACUCCUACGGGAGGCAGCAGUAGGGAAUCUUCCGCAAUGGGCGAAAGCCUGACGGAGCAACGCCGCGUGAGUGAUGAAGGGUUUCGGCUCGUAAAACUCUGUUAUUAGGGAAGAACUAACGUGUAGGUAACAUGUGCGCGUCUUGACGGUACCU